AUCUCUAUCUGGAGGUCAUCCCUCUUGGAACACUUCAGUGAGCCCAGGACACAGAUGCUUUCCUUAAGUGGGAGAAAUGCCAAAUGCCUGAAGUUUGACAGCUGGUCGGAGUGGGUGUGCAGCCCCUGAACAAGACUCUACCACUACAGAAGGAGACGGUUUCCAGAAAUUGCUUCCACAACAGCAGUGGCUGUUUCCAAAGGGAAAGGUAAAUGCUGUAUGAGGAGAGUGUCAAUGGAUCUCCAUGCUUCAGCUUAGAUGUAAGGAGGUUUACUGGUCUUUCAUUUGCUCCCAACUCUGCUGAAUGCUUUUCUGACAAUGGAAGAUGGAGAGAGCAAUGUGCUGAACAUGUUUGAUCUAGGGAGUUAAAGACUGAUACCCAGUUCCUGGAACAAGUCACCCAGCUCCAGAUGGCUAACCACAUGUUCUGAUGGUAGUAUCGUCAAAGGAAGAUGUGGAGUGACAAAGAAUCUGACCUCUGACAACAUAUCAGGUCCCAGUGCUAUUUUUGGCAGAAAAUAUGGCUGGCUGGAACUCACUUUAAGUUAUCAGAAGCUCAGUGCUGAGUAUCAGCAUUUUCAGGGGAGACUAAAAUGGAUAUGAAGCUCCUUGAAAUUCAUUGUACCACUGAGUUAUGUGCAUCUGUUUGCUUUUUUCUCCUUUGUCCUCACAAGAUGGCCAGUUUCUCUAGAGAAUUCUUACUGAAAUAAAAUUGAGUAUAGGCUUUUUCAGCCUUUGAAACUUAAAUUCAACCUCCUCUCUUACACUUUGUGAAUCUGAUAGAUGAAGAGAUUGUAUCUGAAGCUUGCAGUAAUAAGUUACUGCGUGAGGCACUGUGGAGGGAUUUGAUUCUUUAAAUAGCAUUAAAAAAAACCCCUCUAAGUAAUGUAGAGGUAUACUAGAUUGCUUUUAGGGGUGUGUGGCAUGAUGCAUAUCUGCCUUUGCAGGAAAAGAGGGUGUCUCAGUGAAGCAAAGAACCAUGCUGCUGCUGAAAACAAGGCAGCUGUGGUUCAACCUGGUGCUGUUUGUUUCUGUCCUCUGCAAAAAUCUGUCGUGAGAGAGCAAGAGUGAGGCGUGUUUUUAAGACUUCUGUUUUUUACCUCAUGUGGUGUUUAAGGUUCUGAGCUUUGCCUGAGCCACUGUGUGCAUCAGAACAGGCUCUUCUAUUAGCAAAGGGUUGCUUUCAUUUAAACCCUUUUCAGGAAGAUCACAGGAAAACUUUGCUAUUCAUGAUGCUCAGUGAUUUUUCUUUUUUUCCUUUGUAGGGAUUGUAGACAUCAGUAACAAGGUUUUCCCUCCUGCAGACACUAUAGUCCUUUUAAAGAUCUACAAAAUAAGCAAGGUUAUUUUAACAUUCAGCUAACUUGAGCUAUAAAAACUUAUUUGUGCUCGUAUUUUUCUAUAAAGUUUUCUGAAAAGUAUCAAUUAAAACCAGAGUAUGU
rnacentral:lncRNA from 1 species